rnacentral:rRNA from 1 species
AUGAACGCUGGCGGCGUGCCUAAUACCUGCAAGUCGCGCGAACGGACGAGAAGCUUGCUUCUCUGAUGUUAGCGGCGGACGGGUGAGUAACACGUGGAUAACCUACCUAUAAGACUGGGAUAACUUCGGGAAACCGUAGCUAAUACCGGAUAAUAUUUCGAACCGCAUGGUUCAAAAGUGAAAGACGGUCUUGCUGUCACUUAUAGAUGGAUCUGCGCUGCAUUAGCUAGUUGGUAAGGUAACGGCUUACCAAGGCAACGAUGCAUAGCCGACCUGAGAGGGUGAUCGGCCACACUGGAACUGAGACACGGUCCAGACUCCUACGGGAGGCAGCAGUAGGGAAUCUUCCGCAAUGGGCGAAAGCCUGACGGAGCAACGCCGCGUGAGUGAUGAAGGUCUUCGGAUCGUAAAACUCUGUUAUUAGGGAAGAACAUAUGUGUAAGUAACUGUGCACAUCUUGACGGUACCUAAUCAGAAAGCCACGGCUAACUACGUG